AGAGUUUGAUCCUGGCUCAGGAUUAACGCUGGCGGCAUGCCUAAUACAUGCAAGUCGAAUGGGGAGCUUGCUUCCCAUGGCGAACGGGUGAGUAAUACGUAGGUAACCUACCUUUAGGACGAGGAUAACCUUUGGAAACGAAGGAUAAUACUGGAUAGUAUAGAUUUCCGCAUGGAGAUAUAUUUAAAGAUUUAUCACCUAGAGAGGGGCCUGCGGUGCAUUAGCUAGUUGGCGGGAUAAAAGCCCACCAAGGCGAUGAUGCAUAGCCGGACUGAGAGGUUGUACGGCCACAAUGGAACUGAGAACGGUCCAUACUCCUACGGGAGGCAGCAGUAGGGAAUUUUCGGCAAUGGGCGGAAGCCUGACCGAGCCAAUGCCGCGUGAAUGAUGAAGUAUUUCGGUAUGUAAAGUUCUUUUAUCUAGGAAGAAAAAACAAAUUGACGGUACUAGAUGAAUAAGCUCCGGCUAACUACGUGCCAGCCGCCGC
rnacentral:rRNA from 1 species